CCAAUAUAUAGAAGAUUGCUUAGCUCUGAUAAGAGAGACAGGGAUAUGUCAGAAAGGUGUCUACUGAAGAUUAGAUCCACAAUCAUACCUUCUCCAAUAGAUCUCUCCAAGGUACUCGCUUCUCUAUUCUCUCUUUUUUAUUGAUCUUUGUCUUCUGGUCCAGGUGGUUAACCUCUGUCAUGAAAACGCACUGACAUGAUUUGGACUAAUUAAAAAUAUGAUUGCUAGCUAGGGGUAAAGUCAUGUUUAAAGGUUUACAAACACAUAUAGGAAAAGAGAUAAGGGUCUUGACUUAUAUUGUGAAAGAGGGCCAGAAAAUAUUCUAUGGAUUGUAAGCUCAUAUUAUCUUGUAUUUGAGCCUUCUCUUGAUGGUUGUUUCUAGAAUGGAUGACAAGGUUAAGAUUAAGAGUGGCUGCAUGAAAUUGCAUUAUACAUGGAUUAUGCUGUUGUAUGCAACAUAUAUAUAUAUAUAUAUAUGCACAUAUAAAUUUCCUUUUUGUUUCUUAUCUUCCAAAACCAGGUACUUGUCAGAGAUUUAAAGACAAAGUUGCUCACUGGGAUGCAUGAUAUGCUAUCAGUGGUAUGAAGAUUCAAACUAUUCAAGCAUGGGGAUGGUAUAUCCGCUUACUAGGGUCUCAUGCAUGCCUUGAAGAACAGACAUUUAAUUAAUGAUAUGCUGAAAAUUCCCAAGAAAACAUUUUCAGAUAACGACUCACAAGUUCAGAUUGCUUCCCAGGUUGGCUGUGAAGGUCUUAUUAAUGCUCUUAUUCACCCUCCAAUGUUAUUACCGUGUGCGACAAAUGCUGCAGAAGAGGAUGAUGGUACCAAAAAAAGGGAACACAACGGAAAUAGUGGUGAAAUCCAAAACACUAGAUCUUUGAAAAGCGUAAGGCUGAUCAUGACACCACUAAUAGGCAUCAUGUUGAGUAACUGCGAUGUAUCUGUCCGCAUGUCUUGCUUGAACACAUGGUGUUAUCUAUUACCUAGACUUGAUACCUCUCUGAAUGAUUCUUCAAUGAUUAACCGGGUAGUAGACCCUAUGUUUGAAGCAGCUUUUCAACUUGAUCCUAAUGGUAAGAGCUUCUGGGCUACGGAUCCGUGUGUCAGUUUGCUUGAUGAUUUUAUAUCAGCAAAAUGUUCUGAUUUUGGCAAGGACAAAUCAUUGAAGUUCCUGCAGCUCUGGAUCUAUCGAAGGCCUGGAGGAGUACUAGAUAUUUGUGUGUACAUGUUUGAACUCUAGGUUAGGCUAUUAGUUUCAGACUUUCAGUUAUGUUAGUUUGCUUGUUUUGAUUUCUCAUACGUUUACGGACCAAUUUUCUGUCCGUAAAGUUUGGCCACUUUUUCUGUGUUUGUAGUGUCUAUAAACUGUGUUUCUUAAAAUGAUUUCUCUAGAGCUGCCUAGGUUGUAAGUGGAAGAUAAACUAGGGAAAGAAGAGCCAAGCAGCCUAUCGACUCAUCCUGUAUAGAUUACUUGUAGUUUACCACUUUACUAGGCAUGUGCAUAUUAAUGUAAUCAUGAUUUCUUACCAGGUACUUCCAGUAAUUAAUCUAAAGUUCUUGAUCACCUUUAUAUUGUAAAAAGUGUUAUCAUAAGCAUAAGCAUCCAAAUAUUUGCUUUGAAGGACAGAGAUGCCAAGAUUAAGUAUUGCUUGGGAACUUAGUGUUCCAUGAUUGGUCUUUCUGAUUGAUAUAUAUGCGCAGAUGAUGUGACGUUGAAUCUAAUUUGCAGGCCAAAAUUCUCAUGGAAAAACUUCAGGAGCAUACAAAUGGUGAGUGAUGUAUUAUAUUUCCUUUUCAAUGAAGAUUUGAACCUCUGAUCCCACUGUUAUUUAGAACAAUUUUUGUACCAGUUCUUUAGCACAACCUUUAAGUAGCACACUAGCACACUAUGUUACUUCUUUUCAAAUGCAAGUCUUGAUGCUAGGAUAGGAAUGUCUUGUAAGCUCAAUGGCAGGCCAAUGCUAGGAUAGGAAUGUCUUGUGAAAACAGAAGAACAAAUGGAAUAUAAGUACGGCGAGGCUUGCUUUCGUUUCUGUUUCUAGUAUUAUGUACCAUUUAGACUUAAAUUUUUGUUUUAUUUCGACAUGUUAUGCAUAGAAAUACUUGGGAUGUUGUUAUGUACUUUGAGCAUCAACAUUAAUCAAAAAUUAUUUACUUACGA